rnacentral:rRNA from 1 species
UAAUACGUAGGGUGCAAGCGUUAAUCGGAAUUACUGGGCGUAAAGGGUGCGCAGGCGGCUCCGCAUGUCGGGCGUGAAAUCCCCGGGCUUAACCUGGGAAUUGCGUCCGAAACUAUGGAGCUGGAGUGUGGCAGAGGGAGGUGGAAUUCCACGUGUAGCGGUGAAAUGCGUAGAGAUGUGGAGGAACACCGAUGGCGAAGGCAGCCUCCUGGGCCAACACUGACGCUCAUGCACGAAAGCGUGGGGAGCAAACA